UGCAGAGCGGGCGGCGGCGGCGGCAGUGGAGGCGGCGGCUCCAGCCGGCGCGGCGCGGGGUUCGGCAGUGGGAUCCGGCCGCAGUGCUCGCUCCGCGCUCCUGCCUCGCUCCCCGCCUGCAGCGGCCGAAGGGCGCGGCGCGGAGCCCGGGUGGCCCGAGGGCGCGAACCCUGCCCUGUCACAUCAUCCCAGGAAGACUUUGGUCUGGAGAGGAGGAUAAUAUUGAUGUGUGUGGAGAACAGCUGGUGGUAACGAGAAACGUAAUGGGUAUAGCUGCCUGGAUUCUACUCAUGAUCAGAGAUUUAAUUGGCUUUGAAGCUGUCUCCAAAAUUCCAGUCCAGUCAGGAGGAUGCAGAGGUUCACGGGCAUCAGCCAUGAGUCCAGGCACCCCAUGCUCGUCCAUACUUGAAGAUGACAGACCGCUUACAUCCUGGAACGCAUUUGACCCUUGAGGUUCCGGCUGUUGCUGAGGAGCAGGGUGGUAACACUGGAGGACAGUGUUGCCAGUGGACAGAGGAGCUGACAGAGUCAAUUUCUGAUCUGUUGAUUGUGACUGCAUGAACUUGGGUGGCAAUGAAAUGUCUUUGGAGUGUUGGGAACUGAGCUCUGAACUCUGGUCAUUCAACACUUUGGA